UGAAUAGCUCCUUUAAGGUUCGGUAGCUCCCCGAAAUACUAGUUCUUGCUUAGUCAGGCUGUACGUAAUUCGAGAAAGUAGCUAUUUUCGGAGAAAGUGACGUUAGCAAGUUAGCAAGAUCGUAGAUAGGUGCCUAGGAUUUGAGAGUAUAAAAGAAUCAAGCUCUACAAGCCGAAGAUAGGAGCAAAUUAUUGGAUACCACAUUCAAGAUUGGAAAUCUCAUAAACAAGACGAAACAGACACACCAAGGAAAAUUGACCCCUUUGUUUUGGAUAAACAAAAAGAGAUGGCAUCACAAGGUCUCAACGAAUGGAAGUACUGGGAGUGUAACCAUACUUGUUACACUGAAGUAACGUACCGGUGUAAUAAACAUCACAUCAAGCUUUGCUUUGUCUGUGCACAUAGUACGAAGUUUAGAGCAUGCCCUUUUCCACAUUGUCGGGAGGCUCGUAUCCAUCCAAACCCUAAUGUUGACCAAGACAACGUAACAAGGCUCCACGAUGGCACAACUCUUUCUCCAAUCUUUAAAGUUAUAGUUUGAAGUUUUUCUAAACGGAGAAAAAAACAUUGGUGAUAGAUGAACCGAUACGAAGUAGAUCGAGCUCUGAUUUGUAGCUUGUAGAUCGAUAUGCAUGCAUGUGUUUGUAAUACUUAAUUGUUUCUGUAGAUAAUUAUGUAUAUUAAUUUUGUGAUAAAUUAAAUUAACA